CAGCAGCCACGGUAAGACAGAGGGUGCAAACGUUGUUCGGAAUUACUGGGCGUAAAGCGUGUGUAGGCGGCUACGUAAGUCGGAUGUGAAAGCCCUGGGCUCAACCCAGGAAGUGCAUUCGAUACUGCAUAGCUAGAGUACCGGAGAGGUUGGUGGAAUUCUCGGUGUAGAGGUGAAAUUCGUAGAUAUCGAGAGGAACACCGGUGGCGAAGGCGGCCAACUGGACGAGUACUGACGCUGAGACACGAAAGCGUGGGGAGCAAACAGGAUUAGAUACCCGCGUAGUCCCUGUCUCUUAUAA
rnacentral:rRNA from 1 species